AGCGAACGCUGGCGGCAGGCCUAACACAUGCAAGUCGAACGGAUCCUUCGGGAUUAGUGGCGGACGGGUGAGUAACACGUGGGAACGUGCCCUUUGGUUCGGAACAACUCAGGGAAACUUGAGCUAAUACCGGAUGUGCCCUUCGGGGGAAAGAUUUAUCGCCAUUGGAGCGGCCCGCGUCCGAUUAGCUAGUUGGUGAGGUAACGGCCCACCAAGGCGACGAUCAGUAGCUGGUCUGAGAGGAUGAUCAGCCACACUGGGACUGAGACACGGCCCAGACUCCUACGGGAGGCAGCAGUGGGGAAUCUUGCGCAAUGGGCGAAAGCCUGACGCAGCCAUGCCGCGUGAAUGAUGAAGGUCUUAGGAUUGUAAAAUUCUUUCAGCGGGGACGAUAAUGACGGUACCCGCAGAAGAAGCUCCGGCUAACUUCGUG
rnacentral:rRNA from 1 species